GACAGAGGAUGCAAACGUUGCUCGGAAUUACUGGGCGUAAAGCGCGCGCAGGUGGCUUGGUAAGUCGGGUGUGAAAUCCCGGGCUCAACCCUCGGACGUGCACACGAUACUGCCGGGCUCGAGUACUGGAGAGGAGAGCGGAAUUCCCGGUGUAGAGGUGAAAUUCGUAGAUAUCGGGAGGAACACCAGUGGCGAAGGCGGCUCUCUGGGACAGAUACUGACACUGAGGCGCGAAAGCGAUGGGAAGCAAACAGG
rnacentral:rRNA from 1 species